GUGAAUCAUCAAAUCUUUGAACGCAAAUUGCACUCUCCGGUUUUCCGGGAGAGUAUGCCUGUUUGAGGGUCAGCCUAACAACAAUCGACAUUGUUGCUGUUUUAUGCUGACUUUUGUCGGAGAUGGUCUAUCUUAUAUCCUGGUUCACGCGACUUAAAACUUUUUUUUACGUUUCUAAGACCUUUUCUCCGAAUUUUCUUGUACGUUUAAGGUAUCGAAUGUCUUAUUAGACGUGGCCGUCAUAUCGGAUCGUGUCUAUACUUUUUUUCGUUAACUGACCUCA
rnacentral:misc_RNA from 1 species